rnacentral:rRNA from 1 species
GAUGAACGCUGGCGGCGUGCCUAAUACAUGCAAGUCGAGCGAACGGACGAGAAGCUUGCUUCUCUGAUGUUAGCGGCGGACGGGUGAGUAACACGUGGAUAACCUACCUAUAAGACUGGGAUAACUUCGGGAAACCGGAGCUAAUACCGGAUAAUAUUUUGAACCGCAUGGUUCAAAAGUGAAAGACGGUCUUGCUGUCACUUAUAGAUGGAUCCGCGCUGCAUUAGCUAGUUGGUAAGGUAACGGCUUACCAAGGCAACGAUGCAUAGCCGACCUGAGAGGGUGAUCGGCCACACUGGAACUGAGACACGGUCCAGACUCCUACGGGAGGCAGCAGUAGGGAAUCUUCCGCAAUGGGCGAAAGCCUGACGGGGCAACGCCGCGUGAGUGAUGAAGGUCUUCGGAUCGUAAAACUCUGUUAUUAGGGAAGAACAUAUGUGUAAGUAACUGUGCACAUCUUGACGGUACCUGAUCAGAAAGCCACGGCUAACUACGUG